GACGUAGGGCGCGAGCGUUGUCCGGAUUUAUUGGGCGUAAAGAGCUCGUAGGCGGCUCGUUGCGUCGGCUGUGAAAACCCGCAGCUCAACUGUGGGCUUGCAGCUGAUACGGGCGGGCUGGGAUUCGGUAGGGGAGACUGGAAUUCCUGGUGUAGCGGUGAAAUGCGCAGAUAUCAGGAGGAGCACCGGUGGCGAAGGCGGGUCUCUGGGCCGAUAUCGACGCUGAGGAGCGAAAGCGUGGGGAGCGAACAGG
rnacentral:rRNA from 1 species